AAAGCUUGCUGCACCUGGUAUUCCUAAGAGGUCUCCCAUACAGGUACUGACCAGGCCCAACCCUGGAUUGCUUCCGAGAUCAGACGGGAUCGGGCUUUUUCAGGGUGGUAUGGCUGUAAGCGAUGGAAAAACCUUGAAAAAU
rnacentral:rRNA from 1 species